rnacentral:rRNA from 1 species
CCUACGGGGGGCAGCAGUGGGGAAUAUUGGACAAUGGGGGCAACCCUGAUCCAGCCAUGCCGCGUGUGUGAAGAAGGCCCUCGGGUUGUAAAGCACUUUCAGUGAGGAAGAACGCCUGGUGGUUAAUACCCAUGAGGAAAGACAUCACUCACAGAAGAAGCACCGGCUAACUCCGUGCCAGCAGCCGCGGUAAUACGGAGGGUGCGAGCGUUAAUCGGAAUUACUGGGCGUAAAGCGCGCGUAGGUGGCUUGAUAAGCCGGUUGUGAAAGCCCCGGGCUCAACCUGGGAACGGCAUCCGGAACUGUCAAGCUAGAGUGCAGGAGAGGAAGGUAGAAUUCCCGGUGUAGCGGUGAAAUGCGUAGAGAUCGGGAGGAAUACCAGUGGCGAAGGCGGCCUUCUGGAAUGACACUGACACUGAGGUGCGAAAGCGUGGGUAGCAAACAGGAUUAGAUACCCCGGUAGUC